rnacentral:lncRNA from 1 species
GUAUGUCGCACCUCUUCCUUCUGCUCCUCCUCCCCGCAAUCCGGCUUCUGUUUCCGGAAUGAGCGGAGAGAGCCCCCCUCCCAAACUGCCUGCUUCUCCCGGACGUGGAGCUUCUGCGUCGGAUUGCUGUUCUGCGCCGUAGCUCGGGGGGGGGGCGCUUUCGGAAAGGGGAGGAGGGGCGGCAGGACCCCCCACCCGUGGAUGUUGCGGGAAAGGAAAGGAGAAUCGGGAGCGAGGACAAAGAGGUAAAGGGGUCGCGGAGGAGGGGAAAGGGGAGACGGGAGAAAAGGAUUCAGAGACCCCCGCCAGCUCCCCAAAGCGCCUUCCGUGGGGCCUGGAUCCCUGAGCGCGUGCUGCGAAGGGGGCUUUCCUUGGCCCCUUGGGUGCCUUGGCAGGGGCGGACAUGAGGCGCCCACCCAGAGGAUCCCAAUGAAGCGCCCUCGCCCCGUUUCCCCCGCGCAGGCAUCCCUGGGGCGCUGUGGGUUCCGCGCGGAGAGAGGUGGGCCAUGAAAGGGUUAAUGGGAGUGAGGGACGCCUGGAUAGAGACCCCCCGUCCCUCCCCUGCUCGUCUUGGGGGGCCCUUCUGGACGGAGAAAUGGGGGUCGCAGGGCGAGGGGUGAGCCGCGCCAAGGGGUGCGGGGCCUCUGGGUGCAGGGGAGACUCUGGGACAGAGGGAGGGAAUCGAUGAAGUGGGGAGGGGGAGCAUCCCUGGGGCAGGGAAGUGCAGCAUUGGGGGAGGGAGAGAUAGGAAACCAGUCUUUGGGGAGACUUCUCCAUGGUGGCGCCCGCUGGGGAUCUCCGGAGGGGCCGCCUUGGCUUCUCCCUCCCACCCAAGAAUUGGCCAUCCCUUCAAGGUGACCAGAGGGAUCCCUGGAAACUGGGGGGUCCAGUCCCCCCACCCCUUCCUGCAAGCUCCAUCCUCUUCCCACCCCAUGAGCCCCUAUAAGCCCCUGCCCUGUCCAGAUGCAGUGAUUCUGCCCAGUCCAGCCAUUGGUCGCCCUGGAGAGGAGAGGAAAUCCCAAGAGGAAGGGAGGAGGGGAGAGGCCUUCUCAGAAGCGGCUCUUUAUUUCCGCAAUCCCACCCAGGAAGCAGCCAGAAACCUUUUCUUCUCUCUCAGGCUUCCAUCUUUAUUAUCUUUUCCACUGUGUAUGAGGAUAAUGUACACCUGUCAUCAGAAACAGGGGUGCAGAGUCCAUGGAAUGGCUCUCAGGAUUGAUAUAGAAGUUGCACCUCAAAAGCAUUUCUGUUCCUCUUAUUCUUUGAAGGCAGUGUGACUGACAAGCUGAGAUACAAUCCUUCAGCAUCUGAUGACAGCGACUGCAUGAAUCUUCCCAAAGGACCCAUUUUCUUGAUAGACAGUGCCUGUGGCUGGAGGCUCUACACACAGGGUUUGCCUAUACAGGCCAAAGACUGCCAGUAUUAGCACAGGUGAGGUGUGUGACCCCCCCUCCAAAUUGACAGACUGUGUGUGAAUGAGAGUUUGUGGGUGGGAUUAUCGUUUAUGGCAGCCCUGUGAUUUUCUCCACCCAUAACAUUUCGAGAGCUGAUAUUGCAGUACGAAUUCCAAAAUAACUACAAAAAAAUCACAAGAUGAUAAGAAUGAUGGUAGUAUUUAUAUCCUGCCCAUCUGGUCGGGUUUCCGCAGCCCCUCUGGGCAGGUUACAGCACAUAUAAAAGACAGUAAAACAUCAAACAUUAAAAUCCUCCCGAUACAGGGCUGCCUUCAGCUGUCUUCCAAAUGUCAGGUAGUUGCCCAUUUCCUUGCCCUCUGCCUGGUUCCCUGUAACUUCGCUUCUCGCAGGGAAGGAACCAGCAGAAGACCCUCAGAAGAGGACCUCAGUGUCCAGACUGAGCCAUAGGGGUGGAGACGCUCCUUCAGGUCUACAGGGCCGAGGCUGUUGAGGACUUCAGCUCGCAGAUCUUGCUCCUCCAUAAUGACCUCCAGAGCAAGUCCGACGUAUAUUUAGCAGAGUAGGAAAAAACCCUCAGAGGCAGCAAAAAAUUUAUUCAGCAAAUAAAUUUAAUACUGAAUGCAAAAUAGCAUAACAGGAUCCAAAACAUAGCAAAGAACUAACUUAAAUAAAAGCCUAACGGCAUACCAAAGCAGCACUCAAGUAAAUAAAAAGAAUUGUUCAGUAGCUCCUUAGAGACCAACUAAGAUUGUCCUGGGUGUAACCUUUGGUGUGCAUGCAAACUUCUUCAGAUAUCCUGAAACAGAAGUCCCCAGACCCUUAUAUAUAGUGGGAGGGUGGGGUGGGGUUUUUCUCAGAAGGGUAGUAGGAGAUGGGUAUGGUAAAGCUGUUGACGACUGUUAAUGACUGCAAUUAGUCCUACAGGAAAAAGCAUGGGAUAGUAUGCAGAUGACCAAAAAUAGCUUUAGUAUGUGUAAUGAGACAAGAAUCCAAUAUCUCUAUUCAGACCAGGUCUCUCCAUAGUUUUCAGUUUAGUAAUAAGUUGUAAUUCAGCAACUUCUCUUUCAAGUCUAUUUCUGAAAUUCUUUUUUAUUAAUUUUGACUGCAUCAGACCAAUACGGCUACCUGCCUGAAUCUAGCACUCAAGUAAGACACACACAAGCAGAGUAGAGAAAUAGCAGAAUAGGAAGUGGGUCCAGGCACCUUUCAAUACUGUAAUUUAUAAACAAUUCAGUGUCAGAGUAACAUUGGGACGGGAUAACAAGCCUGGCUCACUCCAAUUUAACCAGCUUCAUCUGGUUCCCAAAAUCAAGGAAGGUUCAGCAUAAUCUCAUUACAACUUAUUCCACCACCUGCUCUCAGCAGAAAGGAAACGCCCUUAUCAGCUAAAAUGUUCCAGCUAGAGAAAACACCAACUUUGAAUCACACAGAGCAAAACCACCAGAACCUUCCUGAAGCAAUAGACCAGGAAUGAUUGAGCUCUCUACAUUAGAUCAAUACUUUUCUAUGCCUGAAAAAUGCAACUAUGUCACUUUAAAGGUCUGCACCAACAGUGUGAAUUGUGCUUGGAAAUGUGCUGGGAGCCAGGGAAGAUCCUUUAGGACAAGUGAUAUGUGGUUUCCGCGGCUGCUCCCAGUUACUAGUCCAGCUGCCGCAUUCUGGAUUAGUUGCAGUUUCUGAGUCACCUUCAAAGAUAGCCCCAUGUACAACACAUGACAGUAGUCCAAACUGGAGAUAACCAGAGCAUGCGCCACUCUGGUGAGACAGUCCGAGGGCAGGGAGGGUCUCAUCCGGCGUACCAGAUGGAGCUGGCAGACAGCUGCCCUGGACACAGAACUGACCUGCGCCUCCAUUGACAGCUGUGAGUCCAAAAUGACCCACAGGCUGUGCCCCUGGUCCUUUAGGGCCACAGUUACCCCAUUCAGGACCAAGGAAUCCUCCACAUCUGACCGUCCUCCAGGGAAAGUACUUCUGUCUUGUCAGGAUUCAACCUCAAUCUGUUAGCUGCCACCCAUCCUCAAACCACCUCCAGGCACCAACACAGGGCAUUCACCACCUUCACUGGUUCCAAUUUAAAUGAGAAGAAGAGCUGGGUAUCACCCACAUACUGGUGAUCACCCAGCCCCAAACCCCUGAUGAUCUCUCCCAUCAGCUUCAUAUAAAUCUUAAAAAGCAUGGGGGAGAGGAUGGAGUCUUGAGGCUCCCCACAAGUGAGAGCCCAGGGGUCUGAACACUCAUCCCCCAACACCACUUUCUGGACAUGGCCCAGGAGGAAGGAGGGGAACCACUGCACAGCAGUUCCCCCAUCUCCCCUAGAGGGUCCAGAAGGAUACCAUGGCCAAAGGUUUCCAAAGCCACUGAGAGGUCUAGCAGAAACAGGAAACAGCUUCCCCUCAGACUCUAGACCAUUUGGAGAUCAUCAAUCACAGCAACCAGGGCAGUGUGAGUUCCAUGAUGAGGCCUGAAUCCCAAUUGGAAGGUUAAUGGUUGCAGAAGCUUUCCUGGUCCUGCACCCCCAAAAGAUCCAGGCACAAGACUUUUGUAAGUUUUCAAGGGGCCACCUGAUACAUGGUGGUCUUUUCUUCAAAAAACAAAUAUUUUGAAUACUUUUACAGUGCCGUAUGAUGUAAGUAGCGUUUCUGUUUCCCUUGCUCCACAUCGGAGAGACUUUGAUACACAGGUCUGAGCUGAUUUCUCCACCUGAAACUGCUGUGUUAGCAGCAAUGGCAGCCUGGGCAGUGUGUUUCGGGGUCCUGGGUUGCCUAGACAACAAGACCCCCUUCUCAGCAGUUAGGCACCAGCUUGGCUGCAGGAGUUGCUGGCAGGAGGUGUGCAGGGCACUAUCCAAACAUCUUAGAGACUCCACUCAAGAUUUGUGUAAGGUUUUCCUCUAUAGCCUUUUCUUCUCCUGAAGAUAAGUCACGAGGCAGUGAAGGUUUAGGACCAGAGUUUUCCUUCUUGAUGGGCUUCCUUCCCCGGUUGACGAGCCCCAUCUGCCCUUCACUUUCCUCUGCAGGAUGGGCAGAAUCUGCCUUCUUGACUGUGGGAUUCACUGUUCUUCUCAUCCUCUCCUUCCACCAGGUCCUGCCUUCACCGGCAGCAGAAUUCCCCAACCCACCAAGGAUUUGAGACCCAUCAGGUAUCCUCACCUGGUUUAGCCGGCCGGUUGAAGCCGUUGCUUGAAGCCCUCUUGCAUGCUGACAACUUCUGGAAGCCACAGGUGAGAGCUGAGUGCAGGGUGGGGACCAAUGGUGGAUAGAUUACCCAAGAAGGUGCAUGACAUUUCCCCCACCAAAGGUACCGCCUCUCCUCUAACACCCCAAGACAUCCUAUAAUUAUGAUACUUAAGACAAAUGAGGAAUAAAUUCUUGUCUCCAGAGAUAACACAACUUCAGACCAUCAAUGAAUCAAUACCAUAUAUUCAAGGCUGAAGUAUCCACUAAGUACAGUUAUUUCUUUGCCUUUAAUAUCCAGGUUUUUCAGUGCCAGAUUAGGAUAGUCCUGCGUCAGAAGAGGGGCACGAGAUCAGGCAGCACGUCAUCAUUAAAAAGAACGAUUAGGGUGGGUGUUUCCGUCUGGGAUUCCCAUUUGCCAGCUGCUUUCCUUCCGCUUCUCCUGCUCUCUCCAUGCGAUGUGAGGCAUGUAGACAGAGGUCCAUCUCCAAGAACAGGAGCUUCCCUGAGCACCCAUUCAGCUGACGCCAAGCACCAAGCCUUGUCACUAAUUCUCUGACUGACCCAGGCCACAGUCCCUGGAAAAGAUGUAGACCUGGGUCUCACAUAAUCGUCCGUAUGGACCUCCUGAGGCCAAUGGGACUGUGCAGGUGAUUCAUUAAGAGAUUGAGGUGGAUGGGGGCUUCCGGUUGAGCUGCGAUCAGGGAAGAAGCGCGAGGCAACCCUCAGGGGGGUCUCGAGCAGUGCGGGGGCUUUAGAGGACCUCCAUACCCUGAGAGGAGUAUCUUGGGGGGCAGAGUACCUGGCAGAGCCUGGACGUUCUCUCCUGUUUCACAGGCUUUAAAGCUAAACUGAAGCUUGGGGACGGGAUUGAGCUGCAGGCACCGAGGGGAAGCAGCAGACCCCACGCUGUGCAGUCUCAAGCUUCGACUGAAAGCGGCCAGCUUCCAAACAAAGAAAACAAAUCUGGACUAAAACUAAAGCAGUUAUUAUCUGCGGAUUUUACAAAAGAAAAUUAACAAGAUUCGGAGUGCUGAGGGCGAAAAAAGGGAGUCCGUCCCAGCGGUAAGGAGAAAAUGGCGUCUGGCGGAAGACUGAGAGAGGACUGAAAGUAAGAAAGCAGCCGCCAAGUGAGGUUCGCAGAAAAUCCUUGGUUACUAUGUUCCGAGGUAACGAUUUGUGGGGAAACAACAGAGAGGCAUAGAAGGGGAGGCAAAACUUCUUUGUAUCGUCUUGGUUGAAGCGUCCUGUGCCAGUGGUCGGAGAGUGAGCUUAAAAUGCCCACCAGUGAACACCCGUGAACUCUGCUUUUUUCCUGCUGUUUGUAAAGAGGUUGGGCAGAAGUCUAUGUUGGAGUCACAGUCGGUACGUUUGCAGGAGCAAGAAAGAAGAGACUUGGGGAUUGCUGUGAAUUGCUGUGAAUAUCUGCUGAAGUUCUAUCUGAGCCUCUCCUUUGCUUUUUCGCCCUCUAUGUGGGGGAGGAGAUAAACGGUACGCUUUAUAAUGCUUGAUUAUCGGUCUUGAGUGGAGAAUUUAUGGAUUAAGCUGAUAAGGAACCGGAAAAAGAAGAUUUUGUAUUUGGAGUACAACACGAAGAAUAAGUCUUUGACUUUUAUUUUUAUCUUUACUUCUUACUCCUGUUUUCCCCCCUCUCCCCCCUCUUCUUCUUUCCUGAUCUUUUCCCCUCCCUUUCCUUACUCUAUCGCCCCUCGUGUAUCCCUUCCCCCACCCUUAUUUCCCCCCCCUUCUCUCUUUUUUAUCUGCUCUCCCUCCCUCCCUCCCUUUCUGCUCUCUCCGUGUUUUGGAGGUUUCAUCCCCUUCUUUACUUUUUGUGCCUUUCUUCCUGACACUCUAUGGCAGUCUCCCAGUCUAGUCCUCCAGCCACGUGAAAGGGGAAAUUCCAUUUGAAGGACAAAGAAAUGGAAAGUAACUUUACUUAAGGAAGGAUUUUUAUUGAAUUUACAGGAACUGCUGCCACUGUGUGGGGAAAGAGGGGAACUGCAAUUGGGAAAUUUGAAAAACAGUAUACAUUAAUUUGCGACCCCUAGGGGUGGAAAUUAGAAUAACAUUAGUAAAUAAAUAUCUGAUUAAGCAAUUGUGACAGAAUGAAGAAAAGAUUGGGAACACCAGGAGAAAGAAGACCAUCUAGACAGGAGAAUGGCAAGAAUGGGAAAGAGAUAAAGGACUAUGAUGCGUUGAUGGUUGAAAUAAGAAAGGAGUUUAAACAAAAUGAACAAUAUAUUGAGAAAAAAUUGUUAGAAGUUCAGGAUACAUUAGAUAAGAAACUGGAGGGGGUGGUGGGAGAACUGACAGGUAAAGUAAAGGACUUAACGGUAAGAUCUAAAGUGUUGGAAGAGUCAAUGAAAAGGGCUCAGAAAGAUCUAAAGGAAAGUAAAAAGGAGACAGAUAGGAUCAGAGGAGAAAUAAAGGACAUAAGUAAAACACAAGAAGAACUACUGGAUAAUAUGUCAAUGCUAGAAAUGAGGCAGAAACAGUUGAAUUUGAAAUUCAGAGGUAUUCCUGAGGGGAUAAACGAAAAUAUAAGAGCUAAAUUAAUUAAAGAAUUAGCAAACUGGCUAGACAUGAGGAAAGAGGAGAUAGGCUAUACAAUAGCAAAUGCAUUUCGAAUAAAGGUAAAAUCUGCCAGAGCAAGAGGGAAGAAAUUGCUGGGGGAUGUACCGGUUAUGUUCAACCUUAUGGACAUGAGGAAUGAGAUACUGAGAUUAAAUUAUAAUAAAAACGUAUGCAUUGAUGGGAAGGCAAUUAUUGUAUUCAAGGAGGUUCCAGCCAGAUUUCUUUUUCUUUUUUUUUUUUUUAAAUAAUUUUUAUAAAAGUUUUAAACAACAAAGAAACAACACACACAAAAAGCAAUACAAAACUCAACAAUAAAAAACAAAAAACGUAACAAUUAAAAACAAACUCUCUUUUCCAUUUCCAUUUUUAGAUUACUUAUUUUCUGGACUUCCUCAUACCUCCCUCUUUUGUAUUCCAAUCCAAAUUAUUUGUCCAGCAGUUUCUUUUCCACUUUUUUAAUCCCAAUCUUUAAUUUAAUAAAAUAUUAAAAUAUAUAACUUCAACUUCUUUAAACCUAAUCCUUGAUCUUAAUAUCAUAUAACAUUAAAAUUUUCCCUUUUAAUAUCAAAUUUCCAUUUCUUUAAACAUCUUUAAUCUUGAUCUUUAAUCUUAGUCUAUCAUUAACUUUAACU